AUACGGAGGGGGCAAGCGUUGUUCGGAAUUACUGGGCGUAAAGCGCGCGUAGGCGGGCUGGUUAGUUGGGGGUGAAAUCCCAGGGCUUAACCCUGGAACUGCCUCCAAUACUGCCAGUCUAGAGUUCGGGAGAGGUGAGUGGAAUUCCUAGUGUAGAGGUGAAAUUCGUAGAUAUUAGGAAGAACACCAGUGGCGAAGGCGGCUCACUGGCUCGAUACUGACGCUGAGGUGCGAAAGCGUGGGGAGCAAACAGGAUUAGAAACCCCGGUAGUCC
rnacentral:rRNA from 1 species